UUUUUUUUUUACUUUGAUGAAUUAAAAGUUUAUUUAAAUAGUGGACAUGACAUGUUUCUUAUUGAAAAAUAAUCAGAAUAGUCUAUUUGAGGAGAAGUCUACUUCCUAGUUUCCUAUCUACCUAAAAUCUGUCACCAAACAGAAGACCUAUUUGCCAGUUAAUUUAGUAAAUACUUACUGAAUACCUCGUAUAUGCCUAGAACGAGCUAAACGAGCUAUGAGCUAAAUUAGCUGCAGCGGCAAACAAACAAAAUUGAAAUAGAGAUUAUAUUUUCGUUUAAUUGACUAGGAAGACAAUCCAGUAAACAAAUUAAUGAGCAAUCUAUUUUCAGUAAACAACGCCACAAAGACAAUAAAUUAAGGGCUCUGUGUUAGAAAAUAAAGGAAGGGAAGAAAGUAAACCUUGGACAAAGGGUCAGGGACAGUCCCUCCGGGGAGGGGUUAUGUCUAUCUAUCUAAUCUUAAAUGAUGAGAAGUAGCUGGUAUUUUAAAGAACCAAAUUAGCAUGACACAUGCAAAGGCCUCAAAAAGGGAAAUACUUGGUGUGGCCAAUACCAGUAUAGCUGGAGGAUUGAAGCAAGAGUGACAUAAAGUGAUUGAUAUUCAAAAAACCUAACUCUAGGGGCUCCUGGGUGGCUCAGUGGGUUAAGUGUUGGCCUUCCGCUCAGGUCAUGAUCCCAGAGUCCUGGAGUCGAGGAACCCCCUCCCCCUCGUUCCCUGUCCAUGUCCCCUGCGUUGGGCUCCUUGCUCAGUGGGGAGUCUGCUUCUCCCUCUGCCCCUCUCCUCUACUUGUUAGGAGAAUAAUGAAGUUUAAAAGUGAAAGUAGAAGAAAUCUCUUAAGAGAGAAAGGGAGGCCACUUUUAGACGGCAAAAAACUUGGUAACUUUGAAAACGAUACUUGCAACACAUGCAGCUAACAAAGGGGUAAUACCUAUCACAUUAUGAAUCUAUCAUCUAUGAAUGUAUCUAAAUAGAUGUUUUAAGAAAAUUAGGAUCAACAGUCCCAUAGAAAAGUGGGUGGGGGUUUUCAACUGAGAGUUUAUACUAAAAGAAAUGGGGGGAAAAUGUUUAACUGUAUAUAUUUUUUUAAAUAUUAGGGGGAAAAAAGCAAAAUUUGAUCCUAUAUCACAUCCCAAAAAAAUGUGUCCCAAAGUUAAUUUGGUAAAUAAUAUGAACUGAUGAAUACACAAGUAUAUUCAGUGCAGCGGAAGAGAAUAAACCACCCAAAUGUCCAUCAAUUGGGGUACCGUUUGAGUACGGUACCAAGGGAUACAAACACACACAAAGACCAAAUAUGGAUCUUUUUAGAAGCAUUUUGUAGACAGUUGUAAAGUGGGGGCAUUAGCUACAUAAGAAUGUGAAAUCAAAAGAGGAUUUGUUUUUCCUAUAUAAGAUAUAUAUUUUAUCUAUAUUUCAUACAUAUGUAUACGUACGCGUGUACAUCACAUCAUUCAUGUGAUGAGCAGGCUGGUGUUGGGCACGUGCAUGACAGUUAAAUCAAGAAUCAAACUGCAGAUUUAACAAUGGUUACAAAUGUCCAGCUGAGAAACUGGCAGAGGAAAUAUUCUAAUGCCGAAGUUAUGCAUUUAACUUGACCUGAAUGCCCAAACUGAGGAGAAUAAUGCAAAUCUCCUCAGUGAAUUCAUAAUUGUGUGCACUGCAUUAGAAAUUGUUAGAUGCCUUAGUAUUAGCAUCAGGGUACUUUCAGUUGAAUUAAAUGAAGAAAAGAUACUAGUAUUAAAAUUUGCAACCAGGAGGCGGAAGGGAGAAAAAGAAUGAAAUGUUUAGUCGGACAUUUCAAUCAAAACUUCCAAAAGAAAGAGUCCAAGGUAAACACAACAUUUUGAUUUUUCUCUUUUUCAGAAAAAAAAAACAAAAAACAAACUCAAAUUUGGCUUCUCUGCCCAAAUGGUUUGGGGAUCAUUUAUAUUUUCAGGAUAAAAUGAAGAUAUUUAUUAGUAAUCUAUAACAAGCUAUUACUAGCAUGCAAAACAAUAUUGUUGACUUUCAAAAAGAUGAUGAAACUUCCAAAAUUUUUAAAUGCUUCAUAGAUGUAUUUAUACAACUUGACAGUCUCUCUAUAAUUAAUGAUUGAUAUCUAAUUUUGUAUUAUAGGAUAACUUUAUAAAACAAGCACAAUCCUUUGCCCUGUUAAAUGGAGAAAACUGCUUGAGUACUACCAGUGAACUUGAGCAAAAUGAUUUUUUAAAUGAUUUAAAUAAAAAAAAAAAAAAAAAAAUAAAAUAAAUAAAUGAUUUAAAUAAUUUAAAGCCUUAUUUACUUACUGAUUCCUGACCUUGAACAAGAAUAUAGAAACCUUAGUUUGAGGAGGGGAAUUUAUUGACAGAAUAGUGAUAUUCCUAAUGACGAUUAUUAAUUGUGUCUAUAAUGAUUCUCAAAGCCAUACUUACAGUUUUUUCAUCCAGGUGUCAGAACUUCUAUACUUUCAGAAGGGCUACGAUUAGUACUCAUGUUUUCCCCCUCGGAAAGCUGAGGAAUAAAGGGUUUUUUGCUACAUGGCUGAAUUCAGCGAUUCGAUCUUGGGAACUGAGCAUCUAGAUAAAGACAAAGCCUAUGUGCAUUGUCACCUAUUCAUCCGUUCUAAUUAUUGACCUGCCACGUUGAACCUCUUCUAGGCUUGGUCUCGUGUAUAAGAACAUAAUGAACAAAACAGACGUAGUCUCUCUGUCUUGUAGAACUUACUGUCCUAUAGAUGGAAAAAUCUACAGAAUUUUAUCAACGAACUACUGGAAAUGAGUUCCGUGCCCCUGGAGAAUGAAUGUGGCAUGAUGGAAGGCAACGACAGGAAUGACUGAUCAGGAGCCCAGGGUGAGAACAGACGUCGCUGAACAAUGGACAGACAGAGGUUAUGUACAAAAUCUAAGAGGAAGAGUCAGGAUGUGAGCAACCUCAGUUCCAAACCUUGCCCAGCAUGCCCCAACUGGUGUUUCUCAGCAACCAGAAGAGCAGGACCAGAAAAGCCAUGUGAGGUAGUUUAGUUGGGGGGCAUGAAAAGGAUGGAUGUCGUCUCCAACACACUUUAGUUUGGAAGAACAGAACCUCCAAGCCGCUCUGUGAGGAGGGGUCACUCUGUAGAAAAGGAUCCGGUGGUGGGAGCAAAUGAAAUGAAUCCUCUGUUGGGCAUCAGUAAGGAACAGAGCUGGCCCCCAGUCAUGUCACCACCUCCCCUCCAGAGGAGAAAGCAUCCAAUUCCAGUUACAAUCAUCCAUUAAAAAAAAUUUUAUUGAUGCCACCAGCCUUUAUAGCAGCAUUUCCUAAAACAUGCUUCAAAGAACCCUGCUUCCAGGACAUGUUCUUUGGUAGCUAAAUUAAUUUGGUGAUUUCUGCCUAUGUAACCUCUCCUUAGAGGUUCAUGUGCAUGAAUACGUAAAGGAUCACGAAAGCUCCUGGAGUAAAGACACCUGUUGAGCUGCCUUGGUAGCGUUCCCAAGAGGAUUAUUUUGUUCAUUUAAUGCCUAUUAAUGUCUACUGAAACUAGCGUCCCUUGAAACAUGCUGAGAAACACGGUUUUGAUUCUUAAAGAAUCAUUUGCUUCCUUUUGCAUUUUCAAUUAGCCAUCCGAUUUUCAUGAAAGGAAACUUUCAUCCUUCUUCAACUAAAGCAAAAUGCCCACACCUACUCUGAAGAGAAGAUGGGGCCAUAUUCUCCAUGCAGGCCUCUGGGAGAGACCUCUGCAAGGCAUUUCACAAGAAACGGAAGUCCAGCCCUGUGAAUCUGCAAUUUCCUGCUUUUAUUUUAUUUUAUUUUAUUUUAUUUUAUUUUAUUUUAUUUUAUUUUAUUAUUUUAUUUUUUAUUUAUUCAUAGUGACACAGAGAGAGAGAGA
rnacentral:lncRNA from 1 species